CCCUGCUCAACCUCAUCAGCCAGACUUUGACAUCAGCGUGACUGGCUCCAUGAAUCUCCACAACCUCAUCUCCUAGCUGAAGAAGUGGAUCAAGAUCCUGGAGGCCAAGGCCAAGCAGCUGCCCAAGUUCUUCCUGAUCGAGGAGAAGUGUCGCUUCCUCAGUAACUUCUCCGCCCAGACCGCUGAGGUGGAGAUCCCUGGUUCAUGCCCAGAGUGGAGAUUGUCCAGAAACACAACUCAGCAACACUGCGUCUCUACAUCAGAGGUCUCAACUGGAACAUCUAUGCCUGACUGACUGAUUUCCGCAGGGAGGAGAGGGUCCUACAGCUCCUGAGACUGCUCAACCCUUGUCUGGAGAAGAGGAAGGAGACCACCAAGAGACACCUCUUUUUCACUUCUAUGACACACACUGGUCUAGAUCUCUUUCUCUGUCUCUCUCUAGCCCUCCUCGCUCUCCUCUGUCUAGUCUCUAUAGUUCACCAAAAGACAGCUCUUCCUCAGUGGGACAACACACUGGGCUACUGCUUUACGUCUGUCUGACUGUGUCUCCUUGUCCCCUUCCCUCGGUCUUCGACUCUCCUCUUUCAUAUCGCUCUCUCCAUCUGUGUCUGGGCUAUCUGUUUUCCUCUUGUCAAGUCAGUGCUUUCACAGGCAGUUUAAAAUUCCCUCUCCCUUUAUAUCUGCGGCUCUCAACCCA
rnacentral:lncRNA from 1 species